CUUUGGUGGAGUAGCCCGCAGUGACUAAUGGGAGCGAUGAGUCACCGGGCGAAGAUGGCGGCGGACCAAGAAGAAAUACAGGUCAAGCGUCAUCAAAAGACCCAGCUUUCGGCCGGAGAGAAAAGCGAGGAGAAGACCGGGAAGAAGACCAUAUGGAAAACGUUUGCACCAGUGCUGGAGUGAUUCACACAAGUACACAAGUUCAGAAAAUGCAUCCGAAUUUUAUAGUGCAGUGAAUAGUCUAUAGUGGGCUCAUACCAAGUGCCAAGUCACAAAAGGCUUUUUCAAUGACCCCUGCAGGAUAGCCCCACUCAAUCAGACGUUUCUUCAAAGCAUCAGCCUGCAUCAAGACAGUGUGUAUAUUAGAGACUUACCUGCUUAGAGGAGGCGUACACCUGCAGCCGGAAGAAGCGUCAGUGUGACGUGAAACUAGUUGCUGCCCAGUGGUGUGCCCCCGCAUCUGACCGUGGACACGGUCUUUUCCUCCCCGCCAUAACAUAUCCUUUUCCCUGUAUUGCCGCUAUUUGGAAUAAAAGAACUGUUCCUGUUUGUACCAGUUUUCUUGGGAUUUUUUGUGAAAGAACAAAACGAGAAAUUAAGAAAGCAAUAUAAACAAUCACCUGCAGGUCAAGGGGUACAGGCAGAAAAAUAUAUAACAAACAUUGAGCAGAGCCAGGACAACCAUACCAAAGGAAGUCACAAGGCCCCCAGAGUGUCUACCAAGGAACCCAGACAGUACCACUCAGUGGAGCUUAAUGGUCUAACAUUAUCCGCAA